GGGGAUGUCCCGGUUUCGACAGGAUAUCUUCGGUGAAAAGCUGCAGUGGUUUGGUAGACCAUAAGACUUCUAGGUUUGAAAAAAUGCAAACAAAAAACGCGAAAGCGAAAACUUUGAAAUGCCAGCAUUUAUGAUCAAUAACGCAUCAGCUGGAGUUGCUUUAGCAGCUUAAUAAUUCUUUAGAAUUAUAGUAUUUCCGCAAAACAAUAAAUUGCAUAGUAUUGUUUUUGUGUAAGCCUAUUGCAAUAGAACUGAUGACCGACAGUAAGUCAGUUCGAAAUUUUACUGUCACCAUUUUUUAUAAUUUUUUGAUAACUUUAUUAUAUUAAAUGCUCUCAAAGUUAUCUAAACUGUAGAUGCUCUUCACUGAACUAUUUUGGACGCGGGUUCGAUUCCCGCCAUCUCCACCA
rnacentral:tmRNA from 1 species